GAAAAGGAGAGGAGGGACUUCCCAAAGUGACAGCAAUGUCAACCUAUAGGAGAUAGGCAGGCUGAAUCAAGGAACGGAAGGAAACUGAUAGUGCUCUAAGCCAAUGAAAAGCAGGAAAGAGGAAGGUUUACUGGAGGAAAAGGGGCGUAGGCCACGGGGGAAGUCUGGGAAUGGAGCCUGGAAACGGGAAAUGACCUAUUAGGCCCGAGAACUGAGACGGGUUAACGUCGCUGUGACGUCACGCGUCCUUCCUCUCGGAAUACCAAAAGAGAACUGACCUGAGGAACGCCCCUUGCUGCCGAUCACCGCCCCCUCUGAGUCCUUGUGGCCACCGUGACGCCGACCCCCCUCAGAGCCCCCCAUCACCCUGCUCUGACUGCCGCCUCAGAGCCCCAGUAGCCGUCACCCUGACCACCCCCUUAUAGGUCACCUCACUCCCGAACGUCGUUUCAGAGACCCACUGGUCACCCCCAGAAUCCCUCAGUCAUCUCCUCCAAAACCCCAGAAACUCCCCGGUGACCCCACUGGUCACCCCCAGAAUCCCUCAGUCAUCUCCUCCAAAACCCCAGAGACUCCCCGGUGACCCCACUGGUCACCCCCAGAAUCCCUCAGUCAUCUCCUCCAAAACCCCAGAGACUCCCCGGUGACCCCACUGGUCACCCCCAGAAUCCCUCAGUCAUCUCCUCCAAAACCCCAGAGACUCCCCGGUGACCCCACUGGUCACCCCCAGAAUCCCUCAGUCAUCUCCUCCAAAACCCCAGAGACUCCCCGGUGACCCCACUGGUCACCCCCAGAAUCCCUCAGUCAUCUCCUCCAAAACCCCAGAGACUCCCCGGUGACCCCACUGGUCACCCCCAGAAUCCCUCAGUCAUCUCCUCCAAAACCCCAGAGACUCCCCGGUGACCCCACUGGUCACCCCCAGAAUCCCUCAGUCAUCUCCUCCAAAACCCCAGAGACUCCCCGGUGACCCCACUGGUCACCCCCAGAAUCCCUCAGUCAUCUCCUCCAAAACCCCAGAGACUCCCCGGUGACCCCACUGGUCACCCCCAGAAUCCCUCAGUCAUCUCCUCCAAAACCCCAGAGACUCCCCGGUGACCCCACUGUUGAGCAUCCCCCAGAAUCCCUCGGUCAUCUCCUCCAAAACCCCAGAGACUCCCCGGUGACCCCACUGUUGAGCAUCCCCCAGAAUCCUUCGGUCAUCUCGUCCAAAACCCCAGAGACUCCCCGGUGACCCCACUGUUGAGCAUCCCCCAGAAUCCCUCAGUCAUCUCGUCCAAAACCCCAGAGAUCUUUUGCCCAUCUCACCAUUCCAGAAUCCCACUCACCCGCCUCGUGUUGUCUGUCACCCCAGAAACCCCACUUCUUACUGCCACGAUGGACAGAUCCCCUGACAAAGGUCCCAUUUGCCCAUCUAAGGAGUGAUUCAUAUCAGAGCCUUUCCAGACAGGAGGAUUUAAUGUGGGAGAGAGAACAUGGGGGCCUCGGGGCCUGAAAUGUGUGAUGUCUGUCCGCAGGAGCUCAUGCUGGAGCAAUUGUCCUAGGAGGUGAUCAUGUCACUCAAAACCUACAGUGGUGCCCCACUGCCUUCUAGAUCAAAUCUGAACUUAACCUGCCCUUCAAUAGGUCUCCCUGAACCUUCUCCCCGUUAUUCUUCUCUGCAACCCUUUUCUACUCCAGCCGGACUGUGGCAAUUUCUUCCCAUCAAUCCCUUGAAGACCUCAUCCAUAAAGACCUAACCAGUUUACUGAUCACUUCUCAAUUUGUAUUCAACAAAAGUCUAUGUGGUUGGAAUCACUCCCUGGCUGUCCUGUAUUCAUUGCUGCUUGAAAAGACACCCAGGGAAGAAAAAUAAGCCUUUUUUUCUCUCAAGGCAUGACCCUGGACACACAAUGGACUCUCAGUAAAAACUAGGUAAAUGGAAAUAAAGAGACGUAGAAUUCCUACUGGGACUGAGUAUACUUAAUUAGAAGAA